GGGGACACACAGAACGGCGUCCUAUGGGGAAUGGGGGUGGGGUCUACACUGGUGUCCCUGUGGGGAAUGGGGGGUGGGGGACAUUCCAGUGUCCCCAUGGGGAAUGGGACAUGGGGCACAGCAUGGUGUCCCCAUAAGUCAUGGGAUAUGGGGCACAGCAUGAUGUCCUAUAGGUUAUGGGAUAUGGGGACACACAGAACGGCGUCCUAUGGGGAAUGGGGGGUGGGUGACAUUCCAGUGUCCCUAUGGAGAACGGGACAUGGGGCACAGCAUGGUGUCCUAUAGGUCAUGGGAUAUGGGGCACAGCUUGGUGUCCUAUAGGUUAUGGGAUAUGGGGCACAGCAUGGUGUCCUAUAGGUCAUGGGAUAUGGGGCACAGCAUGGUGUCCUAUAGGUCAUGGGAUAUGGGGCACAGCAUGGUGUCCUAUAGGUCAUGGGAUAUGGGGCACAGCUUGGUGUCCUAUAGGUCAUGGGAUAUGGGGCACAGCUUGGUGUCCCCAUAGGUUAUGGGAUAUGGGGACACACAGAACGGCGUCCUAUAGGGAAUGGGAGGUGGGGAGCAUUCCAGUGUCCCUAUGGAGAACGGGAUAUGGGGCACAGCCUGGUGUCCUAUAGAUCAUGGGAUAUGGGGCACAGCAUGGUGUCCCCACAGGUCAUGGGACAUGGGGCACAGCAUGGUGUCCCCAUAGGUCAUGGGAUAUGGGGCACAGCUUGGUGUCCUAUAGGUCAUGGGAUAUGGGGCACAGCAUGGUGUCCCCAUAGGUUAUGGGAUAUGGGGACACACAGAACGGCGUCCUAUAGGGAAUGGGAGGUAGGGAACAUUCCAGUGUCCCUAUGGAG